AUUGAACGCUGGCGGCAGGCCUAACACAUGCAAGUCGAGCGGAUGAAGGGAGCUUGCUCCUGGUUUCAGCGGCGGACGGGUGAGUAAUGCCUAGGAAUCUGCCUGGUAGUGGGGGAUAACGUCCGGAAACGGGCGCUAAUACCGCAUACGUCCUGAGGGAGAAAGUGGGGGAUCUUCGGACCUCACGCUAUCAGAUGAGCCUAGGUCGGAUUAGCUAGUUGGUGGGGUAAAGGCCUACCAAGGCGACGAUCCGUAACUGGUCUGAGAGGAUGAUCAGUCACACUGGAACUGAGACAAGGUCCAGACUCCUACGGGAGGCAGCAGUGGGGAAUAUUGGACAAUGGGCGAAAGCCUGAACCAGCCAUGCCGCGUGUGUGAAGAAGGUCUUCGGAUUGUAAAGCACUUUAAGUUGGGAGGAAGGGAAGUAAGUUAAUACCUUGCUGUUUUGACGUUACCAACAGAAUAAGCACCGGCUAACUUCGUG
rnacentral:rRNA from 1 species